AAUGAGGCCUGCCGGAGCUGACAGGGGAUCUGUGUUGGGGAUAGAUGCUGCUGACAACCUGAAAAAGAAUCCACCCCAUGGCUUUGAAAUUAACAGUGUUCAGCAGUCUUGUGGGCGGAGUGAGAGCACCUUCCCCCUGGAGCUGUCCUGGGGAGCCCCAGACCAGAGGAGUGAGGAGUGCCCUCCGUUGCAGGUGGGGGUGGCGGGACGGGAGUGUGGAGAUCCAGAGUGGCCACCAGGCCAUUGCUCGACCUAGUUCCUGCUCAGUCCCUCUGGGGCUGGCAGACUUCAC
rnacentral:lncRNA from 1 species